AACGAACGCUGGCGGCAUGCCUAACACAUGCAAGUCGAACGAGACCUUCGGGUCUAGUGGCGCACGGGUGCGUAACGCGUGGGAACCUGCCCUUAGGUUCGGAAUAACUCACCGAAAGGGGUGCUAAUACCGGAUAAUGUCUUCGGACCAAAGAUUUAUCGCCUUUGGAUGGGCCCGCGUUUGAUUAGCUAGUUGGUAGGGUAAAAGCAUACCAAGGCGACGAUCCAUAGCUGGUCUGAGAGGAUGAUCAGCCACACUGGGACUGAGACACGGCCCAGACUCCUACGGGAGGCAGCAGUGGGGAAUAUUGCACAAUGGGCGAAAGCCUGAUGCAGCAAUGCCGCGUGAGUGAUGAAGGCCUUAGGGUUGUAAAGCUCUUUUACCCGGGAUGAUAAUGACGGUACCGGGAGAAUAAGCCCCGGCUAACUCCGUG
rnacentral:rRNA from 1 species